rnacentral:hammerhead_ribozyme from 1 species
AUCUAGCUGACGAGUCUUAAAUAGGACGAAACGCGUAUUUUGGAU